GGAAGUAAAAGUCGUAACAAGGUUUCCGAAGGUGAACCUGCGGAAGGAUCAUUAAUGAUUUUUUAAGCAAACCAAGCUUUUUUUUAUAAAAAGUGAGGUUUUGCGAAUAUAUUUAAAACCCCCACUCUUAAAAAAUUUUAUAUAUUUCAUUCAUAUAAAAUGAUAAAAAAAAGAUCACUUUCAACAACGGAUCUCUUGGCUCUCGCAUCGAUGAAGAACGUAGCGAAGUGCGAUAAGUAAUGUGAAUUGCAGUAUUCCGUGAAUCAUCGAACCUUUGAACGCAUAUUGCACUUUCUGGUAUUCCGGAAAGUAUGCCUGUUUGAGGGUCAGUUAAAUAAAAAUCGGUGUUGUUGCCGCUUUCCGUGGUGACGCGUCGGAAUUGAGUCGUCUUCGGUUAAGUGACUUAAAAUUUUAUAUGAUUUUCGAACGUAUUUAAAUUUAUUUGAACGUUUGAUAUCGAAUGCUUAUUAGGUUCGGUCAUCCUCACGACUCGCGCCUAUAAUUUUUCAUUAAAUGACCUCAAAUCAGGUAAGAAUACCCGCUGAACUUAAGCAUAUCAAUAAGCGGAGGA
rnacentral:rRNA from 1 species